GACGAACGCUGGCGGCGUGCUUAAUACAUGCAAGUCGAACGGAAAGGCCCUGCCUUUCUGUGCUGCUCGAGUGGCGAACGGGUGAGUAACACGUAAGUAACCUGCCCGUGAGUGUGGGAUAACUUCAGGAAACGGUGGCUAAUACCGGAUAGGAGUUUCUGCUGCAUGUCGGUGGUUGGAAAGUUUCGCCGGCUUGAGUAGUACUCGGGGCUUCUCAGUUUGUUGGUGGGGUAGUGGUUUACCAAGGCUAGGCCGGGUAGCCGGCCUGAGCGGGUGACCGGGCACAUUGGGCCUGAGAUACGGCCCAGACUGCAACGGGAGGCAGCGGUGGAAAAUAGUGCAAAAUAGGCGGAGGCCUGGAAGAACAACGCCGGGUGCGAGAUGACGGCUUUCAGGUUGUAAAGCGCUUUCGCCUGGAACGAUGCGUGUGUGACGGUAUUGGGUAAAGAAGCAACGGCUAACUACGUG
rnacentral:rRNA from 1 species